GAUACGGCACAUUAAAAAACUCAUAUAUACCCUGGAUAUGGCAGGGAGUAUCUACCGGAAACCUUAAAUUUCUGACUAUGAGUGAUAUUAAUAUAAGC
rfam:Clostridium butyricum E4 str. BoNT E BL5262 CLP.Contig62, whole genome shotgun sequence.